UUGAAACUUAGCCUUUCCAUAACUUUAUACGCAAGUUAAAUUUAAUAAUUCAAUUAUUGUGAAAAAUAUACCUAAUGUAACAUCACGGACUGAAACCUCUCGCCAACGUCGUGUAUCGUACCGGUAAUUUGAAAUUAUAUGGGAUUUUUAAAAUCCCAUAGGGAAAUGGCAAGUGGCUUUAAUAAGUCCGCCCAAGAAUACCAUACCAAUCGCUUGUGUGAGGACGUCGCUCAACAAUUAAACUCCUUAGGAAAAGGGGGUUUUAAAGACUGGAAAGGAUUGUCAAGUUUAAGUGUUAUAAGAUUAAUUACAUAGAUGAAGAUUAUUUGAAACAUAAGAGAAUAAUUAAUGGAUAAAUAUUAUUUGAAACAUAUGAGAUUAAUUACAUGGAUACAGAUUAUUUGAAACAUAUGUCUAAGUGUUA